AACGCGAAGAACCUUACCUGGAUUUGACAUGCAUUUGACAGAUACAGAGAUGUAUUCUUCUCGCAAGAGACAGAUGCACAGGUGCUGCAUGGCUGUCGUCAGCUCGUGCCGUGAGGUGUUGGGUUAAGUCCCGCAACGAGCGCAACCCUUGUCGUUAGUUGCCAUCAAGUAAUGUUGGGCACUCUAGCGAGACUGCCCGGGUUAACCGGGAGGAAGGUGAGGAUGACGUCAAGUCCGCAUGGCCUUUAUGUCCAGGGCUACACACGUGCUACAAUGGUCGGUACAGAAGGCAGCAAUACCGUGAGGUGGAGCAAAUCGUAAAAACCGGCCCCAGUUCGGAUUGUAGUCUGCAACUCGACUACAUGAAGAUGGAAUUGCUAGUAAUGGCGAGUCAGCAACAUCGCCGUGAAUACGUUCCCGGGCCUUGUACACACCGACGCAC
rnacentral:rRNA from 1 species